AGCAGCCCGAAUCAGGCUAUGCCCUUGAACCUAGUUCAAGGGCGAUAGAAGAGAGAGCGAUGGGGAUCAGCGGCCCGGGAGCAUUAAACAGAGCAGCUAAGCCAAGAGGGGGUUCAGAGAAAGAAAUUCCCGCAACGGAGGAGCAUGCGCCCCGGACAUAGUGAUCUAGUGAUUUUUUUAGUUUUGAAAGAAAAAGUGAGUGGGAUGAGGAUGGAGUAGUGGCCAUCACCCGAUAAAAGAUAAAUAAAUCUGUGAUUCCAGGGGAUCAAGAUCAGUCAAACACCAGGAACUUUAGAGCUGACCAGCGGGACGGAAAGUAGACCCAAAAAGCACCAGAGGAAUAGGCCACAGCUCCGCCAUCCUGGCUUGGUUUUGCUGGUCUCGAAGAAACUAUCCUGGCCACGUAGUGCGGGUCCCUCGCCCAUUAAGGGAGAGAACAAAAAUCAUCAAUUAACUUAUUUACUCCCAUUAUUUAUUUUUGUUAGACGUCUCCAUUUAUAUGUAUAUGUUAGUCCCCUAAUUUAAGUCCGUCCAUAUAAUAUCUAUAUGUAACUUAUUUAUAUUUAUUAUAUUAAUUAUUUCUAUUUAUCUAUUUAUUUAUUAACCGCCCGUAGUGAUAAGAUGAGGGGGGUAUGAAUAGGCAGGCUUAGUGUAGCGAUGAUACCGUGUAAAAUUAGGAAAUUGAAGUGAAAAUUAUAACGAAGAAAAUGAA